rnacentral:rRNA from 1 species
UAUNUGGCAAUGGGCGCAAGCCUGACCCAGCNACGCCGCGUGAAGGAAGAAGGCCCUCGGGUUGUAAACUUCUUUUAUCAAGGACGAAACGAAUGACGGUACUUGGUGAAUAAGCCACGGCUAACUCCGUGCCAGCAGCCGCGGUAAUACGUAGGUGGCAAGCGUUAUCCGGAUUUACUGGGUGUAAAGGGCGUGUAGGCGGGACUGCAAGUCAGAUGUGAAAACCAUGGGCUCAACCCAUGGCCUGCAUUUGAAACUGUAGUUCUUGAGUGUUGGAGAGGCAGGCGGAAUUCCGUGUGUAGCGGUGAAAUGCGUAGAUAUACGGAGGAACACCAGUGGCGAAGGCGGCCUGCUGGACAAUAACUGACGCUGAGGCGCGAAAGCGUGGGGAGCGAACAG